AGCUUUGCGCAGUGGCAGUAUCAUAGCUAAUGAGGUUUAUCCAAGGCGCAGUUAUUGCUAAUUGAAUUGGAUCUGUAGCAAGUCCUGCUUGAAUUCAACAGGCCAGAACUGAGCCUAUGGCUCUCCUGACUUUUUCCACCUAUCCUUUCCCUCUCUGAGAUCUGAGGAAAGCAAGUACAGGAGGUAAUCCUUGCAAACACUGGAGUG
rnacentral:snRNA from 2 species